GUCACUGUUCUCUCUUCUAAAAAUAUGGCUGGACUUGAUUCCUAGAGUUCAACUUUUCACAGAGGUGGUGAGUGCCAUCUCAAAACUGUAGGAGAUUGGCUUAUAUCUGGAUUUAUAUGACUGGUUGUAUUAAUAAUGUUUAAAUUCUGAGGAAAUCCCUUCACUGUCUCUUAGACCUGCUUGUGUUUCAAGCAAGAUUUGCUUGUGUUUCAAGUUGUGUUCAUUAACCUGUUAAAAGGAAGGGCUGCAGAUAAGCUGGCAGUGGCCAUUUUAUUUCUUUGAUCCCAACUAUGCCAAUUUAAUAAAAUUCCCUGCAUCUAAACUGUUACCUUUUACUGAAUGAAAGGCAUUUUAGUUUGGUUUCUAUAUAAUAUAAAUAAAGAAUAUUGAACACUUCUACAUUUUAUAGGUGAUCUUUAAGGUCAGGUGCUUUUAAAAUUCAGCAUGACAAGAUAGGACAAACUGUGAAU